GGCAGGCUUAACACAUGCAAGUCGAGCGCCCACUUCGGUGGGAGCGGCAGACGGGUGAGUAACGCGUGGGAAUCUACCCAAUUCUACGGAACAACUCAGGGAAACUUGAGCUAAUACCGUAUACGCCCCCUUAUAGAGAUAUUUGGGGGGAAAGAUUUAUCGGAGUUGGAUGAGCCCGCGUUUGAUUAGCUAGUUGGUGGGGUAAUGGCCUACCAAGGCGACGAUCAAUAGCUGGUCUGAGAGGAUGAUCAGCCACACUGGGACUGAGACACGGCCCAGACUCCUACGGGAGGCAGCAGUGGGGAAUAUUGGACAAUGGGCGCAAGCCUGAUCCAGCCAUGCCGCGUGAGUGAAGAAGGCCCUAGGGUUGUAAAGCUCUUUCAACGGUGAAGAUAAUGACGGUAACCGUAGAAGAAGCCCCGGCUAACUUCGUGCCAGCAGCCGCGGUAAUACGAAGGGGGCUAGCGUUGUUCGGAUUUACUGGGCGUAAA
rnacentral:rRNA from 1 species